GACGUAGGGCGCGAGCGUUGUCCGGAUUUAUUGGGCGUAAAGAGCUCGUAGGCGGUUUGUCGCGUCGUCCGUGAAAACUCACAGCUUAACUGUGAGCUUGCGGUCGAUACGGGCAGGCUAGAGUUCGGUAGGGGAGACUGGAAUUCCUGGUGUAGCGGUGAAAUGCGCAGAUAUCAGGAGGAACACCGGUGGCGAAGGCGGGUCUCUGGGCCGAUACUGACACUGAGAAGCGAAAGCGUGGGGAGCGAACAGG
rnacentral:rRNA from 1 species